rnacentral:rRNA from 1 species
CGGCAGCUACACAUGCAAGUCGAGCGAGCUCUUCGGAGCUAGCGGCGGACGGGUUAGUAACGCGUGGGAACGUGCCCUUCACUGCGGAAUAGCCACUGGAAACGGUGAGUAAUACCGCAUACGCCCUUCGGGGGAAAGAUUUAUCGGUGAAGGAUCGGCCCGCGUUAGAUUAGAUAGUUGGUGGGGUAACGGCCUACCAAGUCUACGAUCUAUAGCUGGUUUUAGAGGAUGAUCAGCAACACUGGGACUGAGACACGGCCCAGACUCCUACGGGAGGCAGCAGUGGGGAAUCUUGGACAAUGGGCGCAAGCCUGAUCCAGCCAUGCCGCGUGAGUGAUGAAGGCCUUAGGGUCGUAAAGCUCUUUCGCCAGAGAUGAUAAUGACAGUAUCUGGUAAAGAAACCCCGGCUAACUCCGUGCCAGCAGCCGCGGUAAUACGGAGGGGGUUAGCGUUGUUCGGAAUUACUGGGCGUAAAGCGCACGUAGGCGGAUCAGAAAGUUGGGGGUGAAAUCCCGGGGCUCAACCCCGGAACUGCCUCCAAAACUCCUGGUCUUGAGUUCGAGAGAGGUGAGUGGAAUUCCGAGUGUAGAGGUGAAAUUCGUAGAUAUUCGGAGGAACACCAGUGGCGAAGGCGGCUCACUGGCUCGAUACUGACGCUGA